CUCAUAGCUCAGCUGGAUAGAGCACUUGGCUACGAACUAAGGGGUCGGGAGUUCGAAUCUCUCUGAG
rnacentral:tRNA from 1 species